CAUGACCUUGUGCUCAUCCACCAUAUCUAGUGCCCACGCCAUCAGCAUGUCCUUAUCUUCCUCAAAGCCUACAACAUCAGCAUCUGAGAGGAACAAAGGAGCAAAUCUUGGAUGAAGAUCUGAGUAAUCACGGUUUGUAGUUGGACUUGGUGGUAAGGCAGCUUGGGACGAAUUUGCUGGUCAAGAAUGUCGAUGAUGUCAUAAGCUGCAUCUUGAACCUUUCGAACCCAAUUCAAAAUUUGUUGAUCUUGGACCGCUCUUUGAUGAGCUGCACUCAGAAAUGCUGCUAUAGAAUCCAGUUCGCUUCCCAAAGUCCGGAUUCCAGUAUCAACUUUCUUUGGCAACUGCAAUUCUCGCUUUAGAAAAGCAUCGAGCUUUGCAAGAACAAAUUGCACACAAGGGUCAAUCUCGAGUUUGUUGUUGCUUAUUUUCUCCUCUACCAAUGAGAAGGAUAAAAUGUUGGCCGGGUCAAGAAUGCAAAAUUUUCCUGGUUCGAGAAGGAAAGCUUCCAAUUGAGACGGUUUCUCAUGACUGAGUGCACGCGGAUGCAUUUACAUGUACUGGUUAUAGAUUUAAUGCGCUAUGGGCAUCAAUUAGAAAAAGUAUACCUUAUCAAGAGUAAAUUUGACUUAGGGCCCUUAUUUUUAUAUGUUUGUCUGAUUUUAUCACCUUCAAUUUUGUUUAUUAGCACUUAACCCCCAUUAGAAAAACUUUUUUUUUUUUUUGUAAAUUAUACUUGACCCUCUUAUGUUUAUAUGAGUGUCUUUAUUUGACUC